rnacentral:rRNA from 1 species
CCUACGGGAGGCAGCAGUAGGGAAUCUUUCACAAUGGGCGAAAGCCUGAUGGAGCAACGCCGCGUGCAGGAUGAAGGCCUUCGGGUUGUAAACUGCUUUUAUAAGCGAGGAAUAUGAUGGUAACCUAUGAAUAAGGAUCGGCUAACAACGUGCCAGCAGCGGCGGUCAUACGUAGGAUGCGAGCAUUAUCCGGAGUGCCUGGGUGUAAAGAGUUGCGUAGGUGGCAUAAUAAGUAGCUAGUGAAAUCUGGUGGCCCAACCAUUCAGACUAUUAGCUAAACUGUUAAGCUCGAGACCGUUAGAGGUAACUGGAAUUUCUAGUGUAGGGGUGAAAUGCGUAGAUAUUAGGAGGAACACCAAUAGCGUAGGCAGGUUGCUGGGACGCUUCUGACACUAAGGCACGAAAGCGUAGGGAGCAAACGGGAUUAGAUACCCUUGUAGUC